AACGGCCGCGGUAUCCUAACCGUGCAAAGGUAGCAUAAUCACUUGCCUAUUAAUUGUAGGCUAGAAUGAAUGGGUUAACGAAAUAAAGACUGUCUCAAUUAAUCACCUAAAAAUUACUAUCUAUCUGAAGAAGAGUAGAUAAUCUCGAAGGACAAGAAGACCCUAUAGAGCUUAAUUUUAAUUAUAGGGCUACACUAUAAAAAUAUUCGGUUGGGGCGACCCAGGGCUAAUCAAUCACCCACUACAUAAAAGAUAAAUUAAUCAAGUAAUUGACCCCUAAAAGAUCAUAAGAACAAGCUACCUUAGGGAUAACAGGCUAAUCCCACUCAAGAGUCCUUAUCAACAGUGGGGUUUGGCACCUCGAUGUUGGCUUAGG
rnacentral:rRNA from 1 species